rnacentral:rRNA from 1 species
UACGUAGGGUGCGAGCGUUGUCCGGAAUUAUUGGGCGUAAAGAGCUCGUAGGCGGUUCGCUAAGUCGGAUGUGAAAACUCUGGGCUCAACCCAGAGCCUGCAUCCGAAACUGGCGGGCUAGAGUUCUGGAGGGGGUAGCGGAAUUCCUGGUGUAGCGGUGAAAUGCGUAGAUAUCAGGAGGAACACCCGUGGCGAAGGCGGCUCUCUGGGACGGUACUGACGCUGAGACGCGAAAGCGUGGGGAGCGAACAGG